AUGGUGAUACCUUGCACUCUAGGAGAAAGGUUGACUCGAUUUUGGAGAAGUGAGUUGAAAUUGCAGAUAGAGCCAACAUAUGAAUGGUACGAGUUUGAUGUUCUACAGCGUGGAUCGAAAUACAUCCUCGCCGGAGAAUGGGAGAUGUUUGCUAGUAUAUACAAAAUCAACAAGGGCGACACGCUGCAUUUGAACGGUUGUUCACUUGUGCACGAACACCUGGUUUUUGGCCAUUUACGUCGACUGUCAGGCGAUAUCGCAGUGCCAAGAUGUACAAUAGAUGAGUACAAGGCGGAACAACGAAUUGUGUAG
rnacentral:rRNA from 1 species